AUUGAACGCUGGCGGCAUGCCUUACACAUGCAAGUCGAACGGCAGCACGGGAGCAAUCCUGGUGGCGAGUGGCGAACGGGUGAGUAAAGUAUCGGAACGUGCCCAGUCGUGGGGGAUAACGUAGCGAAAGUUACGCUAAUACCGCAUACGAUCUAUGGAUGAAAGCGGGGGAUCGCAAGACCUCGCGCGAUUGGAGCGGCCGAUAUCAGAUUAGGUAGUUGGUGGGGUAAAGGCUCACCAAGCCGACGAUCCGUAGCUGGUCUGAGAGGACGACCAGCCAAACUGGGACUGAGACACGGCCCAGACUCCUACGGGAGGCAGCAGUGGGGAAUUUUGGACAAUGGGCGAAAGCCUGAUCCAGCCAUGCCGCGUGCAGGAUGAAGGCCUUCGGGUUGUAAACUGCUUUUGUACGGAACGAAAAGGUUUGGGCUAAUAAGCUGAGCUCAUGACGGUACCGUAAGAAUAAGCACCGGCUAACUACGUGCCAGCAGCCGCCGUAA
rnacentral:rRNA from 1 species